UACGGAGGGUGCAAGCGUUAAUCGGAAUUACUGGGCGUAAAGCGCACGCAGGUGGCUGAGUCAGUCGAUUGUGAAAGCCCUGGGCUUAACCUGGGAAUUGCAGUCGAUACUACUCAGCUAGAGUAUGGGAGAGGGCAGUGGAAUUCCCGGUGUAGCGGUGAAAUGCGUAGAGAUCCGGAGGAACACCAGUGGCGAAGGCGACACGCGGGGCCGUACCUGACACUGAUGCGCGACAGCAUGGGGAGCAAACAGG
rnacentral:rRNA from 1 species